GAAACAGGUUGAGACAUCCACAAAGGGAUUCAUGGGCAGUUCUGGAUCCGGAGAGGCAGGUGAUCCACCCGCCUCAGCCUCCCAAAGUGCCGGCAUUACAAGCAUGAGCCACCGCACCUCCCAGUGUCCAUCAAAUGUUUAUGGAAUGGGUGAAUGAACGAACGUCUUCUUGGCUUAAUUGGACAUGGACUCACUAGAGAGGAAACCAGGAGACAGAGAAUAGCCCCAAGCAAGCCAGGUCUUGCCAGCAUGAUGAGGAAGGCCCCUCUGCUGGAACCUUCCAAGGAAAAC